rnacentral:rRNA from 1 species
CAAUUUUCUGCCACCGAAUACAUUAGCAUGGGAUAAUGGAAUAGGACCCUGUCCUCCUAUUUUCAGUUGGUUUUGGCAGCGCGAGGACUAGGGUAAUGAUUAAUAGGGAUAGUUGGGGGCAUUAAUAUUUAAUUGUCAGAGGUGAAAUUCUUGGAUUUAUGAAAGAUUAACUUCUGCGAAAGCAUCUGCCAAGGAUGUUUUCAUUAAUCAAGAACGAAAGUUAGGGGAUCGAAGACGAUCAGAUACCGUCGUAGUCUUAACCAUAAACGAUGCCGACCAGCGAUUAGGAGACGUUGAAUACAAAACACCACCAUCGGUGCGGUCGUCCUUGGCGUCUCGGUCCUUCACGGGGCCGGGGCGCGGGGGUGGCUUAGCCCGGUGGCACCGGUGAAUGACUCCCCUAGCAGCUUGUGAGA